rnacentral:lncRNA from 1 species
GUCUUGAGGGAACAGCAGAGGAGAUGUGAUUGAACGAGGAGUACUGAAGAGCACCAAGCAUGAGAGGACAGAUCUUUCUGAAUGGAAUGUGUCCUGGCUGGUAAGAAACAUGGAGCAGAAAUUAUACAGAUCAUGAAGACAAAAUUCAACCUCAGUGCUGAAUGACAAGCUGUUUCAUAGAAGCAUCAGCUUGGCUGUCCGGGAUGUUCUCUUCAGGAGCAGGCUAUGUCACCAGCAGAAAUAAAUCUGUGAAUGCGAUUGAAGCCUCCAGAGAGGUUACCGUGUCAUGUUCCUAUCAACUAAUGUCAAAUUUUUAUAUGCAAAUAUUCCCAGUUAACAUGACUGAUGUUUUUCUAGGCUGGCUGGCUAGUCACUGCCUCUUUUGAUUGAUGUUCAUUAAAUCGAUGACUAAAUUAGCAUUAUUAUUAGAAAGUAUUUUAAAGUUCAAUUUGAUAGGGAUGUUAGCUAUUUAGUUCCUCUUAAUCUUUUCAAAGACCAUGUUAGAAUAUUUGGCAGAUAUGUUUCCAAGGCAGAGUCAAGACCUAGACCUGAUAACCUGAUGAGGUGGGUACACAUCAAACCUUUAAAAGCAUUUUUUUCACUUUUUUUUUUAUUAAUAUU